GACGAACGCUGGCGGCGUGCUUAACACAUGCAAGUCGAACGAUGAAGCGGGUGCUUGCACUCGUGGAUUAGUGGCGAACGGGCGAGUAACACGUGAGUAACCUGUCCUUUUCUUUGGGAUAACGGCUGGAAACGGCUGCUAAUACUGGAUAUUCAGGCUGCAUCGCAUGGUGUGGUUUGGAAAGGUUUUUUCUGGGAUUGGGUGGGCUCGCGGCCUAUCGGCUUGUUGGUGGGGUGAUGGCUUACCAAGGCUUUGACGGGUAGCCGGCCUGAGAGGGUGGUCGGUCGCACUGGGACUGAGAUACGGCCCAGACUCCUACGGGAGGCAGCAGUGGGGAAUAUUGCACAAUGGACGAAAGUUUGAUGCAGCGACGCCGCGUGGAGGGUGUAGGCCUUCGGGUUGUGAACUCCUUUUUCUCGCGAAAAAGGCACAGUUUUGGCUGUGUUGAUGGUAGUGGGGGAAGAAGCGCCGGCUAACUACGUG
rnacentral:rRNA from 1 species